rnacentral:rRNA from 1 species
UUUGUGAUUUUCCACAAAACGGAGGAAAAGAAACCAACAGGGAUUGCCUCAGUAACGGCGAGUGAAGCGGCAAGAGCUCAACUUUGGAAUCGCUCCGGCGAGUUGUAGUCUGGAGGUGGCCACCACGAGGUGUUCUAGCAGCAGGCAAGUCCUUUGGAACAAGGCGCCAGCGAGGGUGACAGCCCCGUACCUGCUUUUGCUAGUGCUUCCUGUGGCCCACCGACGAGUCGAGUUGUUUGGGAAUGCAGCUCUAAGUGGGUGGUAAAUUCCAUCUAAGGCUAAAUAUUGGCGAGAGACCGAUAGCGAACAAGUACAGUGAUGGAAAGAUGAAAAGCACUUUGAAAAGAGAGUGAAACAGUACGUGAAAUUGUUGAAAGGGAAGGGCUUGCACCCAGACACGGUUUCGGCCGGGCCAGCAUCAAGUAGAACGGGGUUAAAAGACUUGGGGAAUGUAGCUACUUCGGUAGUGUUAUAGCCCUUGGUGAUGACCCCUGUUUUGCUUGAGGACAGCGGUCUCUAGGAUGCUG